rnacentral:rRNA from 1 species
AGCGUACACGGUGGAUGCCCUGGCAGUCAGAGGCGAUGAAGGACGUGCUAAUCUGCGAUAAGCGUCGGUAAGGUGAUAUGAACCGUUAUAACCGGCGAUUUCCGAAUGGGGAAACCCAGUGUGUUUCGACACACUAUCAUUAACUGAAUCCAUAGGUUAAUGAGGCGAACCGGGGGAACUGAAACAUCUAAGUACCCCGAGGAAAAGAAAUCAACCGAGAUUCCCCCAGUAGCGGCGAGCGAACGGGGAGCAGCCCAGAGCCUGAAUCAGUGUGUGUGUUAGUGGAAGCGUCUGGAAAGGCGCGCGAUACAGGGUGACAGCCCCGUACACAAAAAUGCACAUGCUGUGAGCUCGAUGAGUAGGGCGGGACACGUGGUAUCCUGUCUGAAUAUGGGGGGACCAUCCUCCAAGGCUAAAUACUCCUGACUGACCGAUAGUGAACCAGUACCGUGAGGGAAAGGCGAAAAGAACCCCGGCGAGGGGAGUGAAAAAGAACCUGAAACCGUGUACGUACAAGCAGUGGGAGCACGCUUAGGCGUGUGACUGCGUACCUUUUGUAUAAUGGGUCAGCGACUUAUAUUCUGUAGCAAGGUUAACCGAAUAGGGGAGCCGAAGGGAAACCGAGUCUUAACUGGGCGUUAAGUUGCAGGGUAUAGACCCGAAACCCGGUGAUCUAGCCAUGGGCAGGUUGAAGGUUGGGUAACACUAACUGGAGGACCGAACCGACUAAUGUUGAAAAAUUAGCGGAUGACUUGUGGCUGGGGGUGAAAGGCCAAUCAAACCGGGAGAUAGCUGGUUCUCCCCGAAAGCUAUUUAGGUAGCGCCUCGUGAAUUCAUCUCCGGGGGUAGAGCACUGUUUCGGCAAGGGGGUCAUCCCGACUUACCAACCCGAUGCAAACUGCGAAUACCGGAGAAUGUUAUCACGGGAGACACACGGCGGGUGCUAACGUCCGUCGUGAAGAGGGAAACAACCCAGACCGCCAGCUAAGGUCCCAAAGUCAUGGUUAAGUGGGAAACGAUGUGGGAAGGCCCAGACAGCCAGGAUGUUGGCUUAGAAGCAGCCAUCAUUUAAAGAAAGCGUAAUAGCUCACUGGUCGAGUCGGCCUGCGCGGAAGAUGUAACGGGGCUAAACCAUGCACCGAAGCUGCGGCAGCGACGCUUAUGCGUUGUUGGGUAGGGGAGCGUUCUGUAAGCCUGCGAAGGUGUGCUGUGAGGCAUGCUGGAGGUAUCAGAAGUGCGAAUGCUGACAUAAGUAACGAUAAAGCGGGUGAAAAGCCCGCUCGCCGGAAGACCAAGGGUUCCUGUCCAACGUUAAUCGGGGCAGGGUGAGUCGACCCCUAAGGCGAGGCCGAAAGGCGUAGUCGAUGGGAAACAGGUUAAUAUUCCUGUACUUGGUGUUACUGCGAAGGGGGGACGGAGAAGGCUAUGUUGGCCGGGCGACGGUUGUCCCGGUUUAAGCGUGUAGGCUGGUUUUCCAGGCAAAUCCGGAAAAUCAAGGCUGAGGCGUGAUGACGAGGCACUACGGUGCUGAAGCAACAAAUGCCCUGCUUCCAGGAAAAGCCUCUAAGCAUCAGGUAACAUCAAAUCGUACCCCAAACCGACACAGGUGGUCAGGUAGAGAAUACCAAGGCGCUUGAGAGAACUCGGGUGAAGGAACUAGGCAAAAUGGUGCCGUAACUUCGGGAGAAGGCACGCUGAUAUGUAGGUGAAGCGACUUGCUCGUGGAGCUGAAAUCAGUCGAAGAUACCAGCUGGCUGCAACUGUUUAUUAAAAACACAGCACUGUGCAAACACGAAAGUGGACGUAUACGGUGUGACGCCUGCCCGGUGCCGGAAGGUUAAUUGAUGGGGUUAGCCGCAAGGCGAAGCUCUUGAUCGAAGCCCCGGUAAACGGCGGCCGUAACUAUAACGGUCCUAAGGUAGCGAAAUUCCUUGUCGGGUAAGUUCCGACCUGCACGAAUGGCGUAAUGAUGGCCAGGCUGUCUCCACCCGAGACUCAGUGAAAUUGAACUCGCUGUGAAGAUGCAGUGUACCCGCGGCAAGACGGAAAGACCCCGUGAACCUUUACUAUAGCUUGACACUGAACAUUGAGCCUUGAUGUGUAGGAUAGGUGGGAGGCUUUGAAGUGUGGACGCCAGUCUGCAUGGAGCCGACCUUGAAAUACCACCCUUUAAUGUUUGAUGUUCUAACGUUGACCCGUAAUCCGGGUUGCGGACAGUGUCUGGUGGGUAGUUUGACUGGGGCGGUCUCCUCCUAAAGAGUAACGGAGGAGCACGAAGGUUGGCUAAUCCUGGUCGGACAUCAGGAGGUUAGUGCAAUGGCAUAAGCCAGCUUGACUGCGAGCGUGACGGCGCGAGCAGGUGCGAAAGCAGGUCAUAGUGAUCCGGUGGUUCUGAAUGGAAGGGCCAUCGCUCAACGGAUAAAAGGUACUCCGGGGAUAACAGGCUGAUACCGCCCAAGAGUUCAUAUCGACGGCGGUGUUUGGCACCUCGAUGUCGGCUCAUCACAUCCUGGGGCUGAAGUAGGUCCCAAGGGUAUGGCUGUUCGCCAUUUAAAGUGGUACGCGAGCUGGGUUUAGAACGUCGUGAGACAGUUCGGUCCCUAUCUGCCGUGGGCGCUGGAGAACUGAGGGGGGCUGCUCCUAGUACGAGAGGACCGGAGUGGACGCAUCACUGGUGUUCGGGUUGUCAUGCCAAUGGCACUGCCCGGUAGCUAAAUGCGGAAGAGAUAAGUGCUGAAAGCAUCUAAGCACGAAACUUGCCCCGAGAUGAGUUCUCCCUGACUCCUUGA